GACGAACGCUGGCGGCGUGCUUAACACAUGCAAGUCGAACGGAAAGGCCUCUUUCGGGGGGUACUCGAGUGGCGAACGGGUGAGUAACACGUGAGUAACCUGCCCUUGACUUUGGGAUAACUUCAGGAAACUGGGGCUAAUACCGGAUAGGAGCUCCUGCUGCAUGGUGGGGGUUGGAAAGUUUCGGCGGUUGGGGAUGGACUCGCGGCUUAUCAGCUUGUUGGUGGGGUAGUGGCUUACCAAGGCUUUGACGGGUAGCCGGCCUGAGAGGGUGACCGGCCACAUUGGGACUGAGAUACGGCCCAGACUCCUACGGGAGGCAGCAGUGGGGAAUAUUGCACAAUGGGCGGAAGCCUGAUGCAGCAACGCCGCGUGCGGGAUGACGGCCUUCGGGUUGUAAACCGCUUUCGCCUGUGACGAAGCGUGAGUGACGGUAAUGGGUAAAGAAGCACCGGCUAACUACGUG
rnacentral:rRNA from 1 species